rnacentral:rRNA from 1 species
UACGAAGGGUGCUAGCGUUGUUCGGAAUCACUGGGCGUAAAGCGCGCGUAGGCGGCCAAUCAAGUCAGGGGUGAAAUGCCACGGCUCAACCGUGGAACUGCCUUUGAAACUGAUUGGCUGGAAGAUGAGAGGGGAUAGCGGAAUUUCUGGUGUAGAGGUGAAAUUCGUAGAUACCAGAAGGAACACCGGUGGCGAAGGCGGCUAUCUGGCUCAUUCUUGACGCUGUGGCGCGAAAGCGUGGGGAUCAAACAGG